GAUGAACGCUGGCGGUAUGCUUAACACAUGCAAGUCGAACGGACUCUUCGGAGUUAGUGGCGGACGGGUGAGUAACGCGUGAGAAUCUGGCUUUGGGUUCGGGACAACCACUGGAAACGGUGGCUAAUACCGGAUGUGCCGAGAGGUAAAAGAGAAAUUGCCUGAAGAUGAGCUCUCGUCUGAUUAGCUAGUUGGUGAGUUAAAGGCUCACCAAGGCAGCGAUCAGUAGCUGGUCUGAGAGGAUGACCAGCCACACGGGGACUGAGACACGGCCCAGACUCCUACGGGAGGCAGCAGUGGGGAAUUUUCCGAAAUGGGCGAAAGCCUGACGGAGAAAUACCGAGUGAGGGAAGAAGGCUCUUGGGUUGUAAACCUCUUUUCUUAGGGAAGAACAAAAUGACGGUACCUAAGGAAUCAGCAUCGGCUAACUCCGUG
rnacentral:rRNA from 1 species